UCUCACAUUACAAGUUCGAUAACAUUUUAGAGCUUAUUUAUAUUGAGAGUUUCUUCUAGAAGAAAAUGACAGCCACAGCAACACGUACGUCUCAGGCUGUAACUGAGUGGACAAAAGUAUUUCCUAAACAAGUUACAGAAAAUUAUACUAGUUCAGUCACAUUUAUGAAGCAGUUGACUGUUAUAGCAGUCAGUACGAUUACAUAUUUGAAGAAUGCUUUUCCCGAAGACAGCUAUUCAAUGGAAAAUUUUGGUGGUUUGAAAUUGAGGAUUCUAAAAAAUAAAUGCAAAGAUGACCUUGCUCAUUUUCUGAGUACAGCUCUUACUCAGGCGUUCGAGGCAUUUGAUAAAAAAUACUUGCACCAACUAGCGCUCUGCUUUUACGAGGAUGAGUGUAAAAUGGAGAACUUGAUCGAAUACCACGUGUUCGAGUAUACUUAUAACGACGAUGGGGUGACCAUGAGUGUCUCUUCUAAAACGCGGGACAGCGGAAAGACGCAUGCGCGGUAUACGUUCGACGGGGUACGCGAAAGGACAGUCCACCUCAUUAGAGCGUGUGUGGUCAUCAUGCAGACUUGUCAACAGCACCUGCCUGAAACUUAUGACGUGUCUUUGCGGCUGUAUUACA